rnacentral:rRNA from 1 species
UACCAGCACCCCGAGUGGUCGGGACGUUUAUUGGGCCUAAAGCAUCCGUAGCCGGUUCUACAAGUCUUCCGUUAAAUCCAGCUGCUUAACAGAUGGGCUGCGGAAGAUACUAUGGAGCUAGGAGGCGGGAGGAGGCAAGCGGUACUCGAUGGGUAGGGGUAAAAUCCGUUGAUCCAUUGAAGACCACCAGUGGCGAAGGCGGCUUGCCAGAACGCGCUCGACGGUGAGGGAGUGAAAGCUGGGGGGAGCAAACCGG